rnacentral:rRNA from 1 species
UAAUACAUGUGGGGCAAGCGUUGUUCGGAAUUACUGGGCAUAAAGGGUGCGUAGGCGGCUUGUUAAGUCAGGGGUGAAAGUUUUCGGCCCAACCGGAAAAUUGCCUUUGAUACUGGCGAGCUUGAGUGCGUGAGGGGUAACCGGAACGAGUCGUGUAGCGGUGAAAUGCGUAGAUAUGACUCGGAAGGCCAACGGCGAAGGCAGGUUACUGGUACGCAACUGACGCUGAGGCACGAAAGCGUGGGGAGCAAACAGGAUUAGAUACCCUGGUAGUCCACGCCGUAAACGAUGAGCACUAGGUAGGUGCCGAGCUAUUCGGUGCCUGCCGCAGGUAAUUUGGUAAGUGCUCCGCCUGGGGAGUAUGGUCGCAAGGCUG